rnacentral:misc_RNA from 1 species
GGGAAAUCAAAUUAGCACGAAGAUAACAAGCUCCAAAUUUAAGAUUAAUUAACACUGCAAUUAGGACAGCCGAGUCACCUCACAAGACUUUUGGGCCUACUCCAACCCAAAAUCUAUUUACACCUUGGAGUAAUAAAAGAAUAAAAUUGAGCAAACCAAACGUUUUAUUCUAUUCCAAAUGAGUACACUAUUUAGUCCCUCGACAAGACCUUUGAGGGGCUUGCUUCUAUCAUGCUCAAGAGACAUUUCCUGUUUUCAAUAAAUGAACAAAUGAACUGUACAACAAUGCCUGGGAAGGCCGCCUUCGUUUUGCAGUUGAAACGGAAAAAAAAAAAAGAAAAAAA